CUGGGAGUGCUAUAUACUCUCUUCAUAUCACAAACAAGUGACUUUUUAGAUACUGACACGGUCUUUGAGAUAUAACUUUGAUCACUAAUCUAUAGUAGGAAUAUAUGUACAAGACUGAAAAACAUGAUAUUCUAGAAAUGCUUUCUGAAAGAUCUAUACAUAUGAUUUAAAAAAAUUAAACAUAGCAAUUAAAAUGAUAUUUGCAGCCAAAGUUUUAAAAGUUUGACUGAAAGCAUGCCCAAAAAGUUACUUAUUUGUGAUAUAGAGGGGAUGAAAAUUCACUUUAAACAUGAACUAGAGCAUUCCUCCUAUUUGAUUCAUGAAAAAAAAAACUUGCAGAAUUUAACACACACUGACAAAAAGAUUGUAAAAUUUCUAGAAUAUACUUAGGCCUGACAUGUUCUUCUCUUUUGUAUUCUCAAAUAUGCCAAUUUUAUGGUAACACAGGUCGAUGUCUAUUCUUUUGGCGUUGUGAUGUGGGAAAUUCUCACUGGUGAGGAUCCAUAUGAUGGCAUGCACUAUGGAGGAGUUAUAGGGGGUAUUUUGAGUGACACACUGAGGCCGCCAGUGCCCACUUCAUGUAACCCGGAAUGGAGGAAACUCAUGGAGCAAUGCUGGUCAACUGAGCCUGAGCGAAGACCUUCAUUUACUGAAGUCGCAACUUGUCUUCGUUCUAUGCUGCAAGCGCAAAAAUGAAUCUCAGUUAAUAUGCAAGAACUGAAGAACACCUCUCUAUGCAUGCUUGUGUGUGUGUCUAUAUAUAUCCUUCUUGCACAUGAUCUAGACAAACAUGAAUAUUUGUUUGAGUUUCAUAUCUGUUUUGUUUUGAGAAAAGUGUAUAUUGUUGGUCCCUCAAGUUUACAAGUAGACAUUGGAUCCCUCAUCUUUUUUCCGUCGA